UACGUAGGUGGCGAGCGUUGUCCGGAUUUACUGGGCGUAAAGGGAGCGUAGGCGGACUUUUAAGUGAGAUGUGAAAUACUCGGGCUCAACUUGAGUGCUGCAUUUCAAACUGGAAGUCUAGAGUGCAGGAGAGGAGAAUGGAAUUCCUAGUGUAGCGGUGAGAUGCGUAGAUAUAUGGAAGAACACCAGUGGCGAAAGCGGCUCUCUGGUCUGUAACUGACGCUGAGGUUCGAAAGCGUGGGUAGCAAACAGG
rnacentral:rRNA from 1 species